AACUUUCAACAACGGAUCUCUUGGUUCUGGCAUCGAUGAAGAACGCAGCGAAAUGCGAUAAGUAGUGUGAAUUGCAGAAUUCAGUGAAUCAUCGAAUCUUUGAACGCACAUUGCGCCCUUUGGUAUUCCAAAGGGCAUGCCUGUUCGAGC
rnacentral:rRNA from 4 species